rnacentral:rRNA from 1 species
UACAGAGGGGGCAAGCGUUAUUCGGAAUUCUUGGGCGUAAAGGGCGCGUAGGCGGCCAUUCAAGUGACGGGUGAAAGCCCUCGGCUUAACCGAGGAACUGCCUGUCAGACUGGAUGGCUUGAGACCGGGAGAGGUGAGUGGAAUUCCCAGUGUAGCGGUGAAAUGCGUAGAUAUUGGGAGGAACACCAGUGGCGAAGGCGGCUCACUGGACCGGAACUGACGCUGAGGCGCGAAAGCGUGGGGAGCAAACAGG